rnacentral:rRNA from 1 species
AUGCAGUCGAACGCCCCGCAAGGGGAGUGGCAGACGGGUGAGUAACGCGUGGGAACAUACCCUUUCCUGCGGAAUAGCUCCGGGAAACUGGAAUUAAUACCGCAUACGCCCUACGGGGGAAAGAUUUAUCGGGGAAGGAUUGGCCCGCGUUGGAUUAGCUAGUUGGUGGGGUAAAGGCCUACCAAGGCGACGAUCCAUAGCUGGUCUGAGAGGAUGAUCAGCCAC